AACGAAAAGAGCGAUGGAGUUCGCUCGAAUCCUGGCUGGCCAGGUGAUGACUCCUACCGUAUG
rnacentral:ncRNA from 2 species